rnacentral:sRNA from 1 species
UAUACAUACUAAUUGAAACCUGCGAAACU